GACGAACGCUGGCAGCGUGCCUAAUACAUGCAAGUAGAACGCUGAAGCGAGGAGCUUGCUCUUCUUGGAUGAGUUGCGAACGGGUGAGUAACGCGUAGGUAACCUGCCUUGUAGCGGGGGAUAACUAUUGGAAACGAUAGCUAAUACCGCAUAACAAUGGAUGACACAUGUCAUUUAUUUGAAAGGGGCAAUUGCUCCACUACAAGAUGGACCUGCGUUGUAUUAGCUAGUAGGUGAGGUAAUGGCUCACCUAGGCGACUAUACAUAGCCGACCUGAGAGGGUGAUCGGCCACACUGGGACUGAGACACGGCCCAGACUCCUACGGGAGGCAGCAGUAGGGAAUCUUCGGCAAUGGGGGCAACCCUGACCGAGCAACGCCGCGUGAGUGAAGAAGGUUUUCGGAUCGUAAAGCUCUGUUGUAAGUCAAGAACGGGUGUGAGAGUGGAAAGUUCACACUGUGACGGUAGCUUACCAGAAAGGGACGGCUAACUACGUG
rnacentral:rRNA from 1 species